rnacentral:rRNA from 1 species
GAUGAACGCUGGCGGCGUGCCUAAUACAUGCAAGUCGAACGAACAGACGAGUUGCUUGCUCCUCGGACGUUAGCCGCGGACGGGAGAGUAACACGUGUAUAACCUACCUAUAAGAAUGGGAUAACUACGGGAAACCGGAGCUAAUACCAGAUGAUAUAUUGAGCCGCAGGGUUCAAUGGUAUAAUUCGGUUCUGCUGUCACUUAUAGACGGUUCCGCGUCGGAUUAGCUAGUUGGUAAGGUAACGGCUUAGCAAGGCAACGAUGCGUAGCCGACCUGAGAGGGUGAGCGGCCACACUGGAACUGAGACACGGCCCAGACUCCUACGGGAGGCAGCAGUAGGGAAUUUUCCGCAAUGGGGGAAAGCCUGACGGAGCAACGCCGCGUGAGGGAGGAAGGCCUUCGGAUUGUAAAACGCUGUUAUUAGGAAAGAACCAAUGUCUAAUUAACUAGGGAGGUCUUGACGGUACCUGAUCAGAAAGCAACGGCUAACUACGUG